UACGAAGGGUGCAAGCGUUACUCGGAAUUACUGGGCGUAAAGCGUGCGUAGGUGGUUCGUUAAGUCUGAUGUGAAAGCCCUGGGCUCAACCUGGGAAUGGCAUUGGAAACUGGCGACCUAGAGUGCGGUAGAGGGUAGUGGAAUUCCCGGUGUAGCAGUGAAAUGCGCAGAUAUCGGGAGGAACACCAAUGGCGAAGGCAGCUCGCUGGGACGUUACUGACGCUGAGACGCGAAAGCGUGGGGAGCAAACAGG
rnacentral:rRNA from 1 species